UACGUAGGUCCCGAGCGUUGUCCGGAUUUAUUGGGCGUAAAGCGAGCGCAGGUGGUUUAUUAAGUCUGGUGUAAGAGGCAGUGGCUCAACCAUUGUAUGCAUUGGAAACUGGUAGACUUGAGUGCAGGAGGGGAGAGUGAAAUUCCAUGUGUAGCGGUGAAAUGCGUAGAUAUAUGGAGGAACACCGGUGGCGAAAGCGGCUCUCUGGCCUGUAACUGACACUGAGGCUCGAAAGCGUGGGGAGCAAACAGG
rnacentral:rRNA from 1 species